UACGAGGGGGGCAAGCGUUGUUCGGAAUUACUGGGCGUAAAGCGUGACGCAGGCGGUUCUAUAAGACAGAUGUGAAAUCCCCGGGCUCAACCUGGGAACUGCAUUUGUGACUGUAGAGCUGGAGUACGGCAGAGGGGGAUGGAAUUCCGCGUGUAGCAGUGAAAUGCGUAGAUAUGCGGAGGAACACCGAUGGCGAAGGCAAUCCCCUGGGCCUGUACUGACGCUCAUGCACGAAAGCGUGGGGAGCAAACAGG
rnacentral:rRNA from 1 species